AGCGAACGCUGGCGGCAGGCCUAACACAUGCAAGUCGAACGAACCUUUCGGGGUUAGUGGCGGACGGGUGAGUAACACGUGGGAACGUGCCUUUAGGUUCGGAAUAACUCAGGGAAACUUGUGCUAAUACCGGAUGUGCCCUUCGGGGGAAAGAUUUAUCGCCUUUAGAGCGGCCCGCGUCUGAUUAGCUAGUUGGUUGAGGUAAUGGCUCACCAAGGCGACGAUCAGUAGCUGGUCUGAGAGGAUGAUCAGCCACAUUGGGACUGAGACACGGCCCAAACUCCUACGGGAGGCAGCAGUGGGGAAUCUUGCGCAAUGGGCGAAAGCCUGACGCAGCCAUGCCGCGUGAAUGAUGUAGGUCUUAGGAUUGUAAAAUUCUUUCACCGGGGACGAUAAUGACGGUACCCGGAGAAGAAGCCCCGGCUAACUUCGUG
rnacentral:rRNA from 1 species